ACUGCUUUAGCGAAUGAUUGAGUGUUCAAAAUAUCUUGGGAUCUGAAAUUAAUAAGGAAUGUGCAAUUAACCAACAAUGUACAAGAUGCUGGGGAACAUAACUGGAACAGUUUCUGGAAUUGAUUAUAUAACAAAUUGUCUCUUAACAUUGAGAAUAUUUCAUAAGGAACAAUUUGAGGAAAGGGAGUUGAAAUUAAAAAAUAAUUAAAAUUAUAUUAAUCACGAUAGGUAAGUUGAAACGCUGUACUAGAAUCAAUUCUCUAAAGAAAUUCUACAUACAUAUUAACAUAUUAUUCAAUAAUAAAUUAUUCUAUUUCAUAAAAUUUAAAAAAUUUUAAAAAUUAUUUUUAUAUUUACCCUUCAUAUUGGACGUUAUUUUCUUCAUAUUGUGGAUUCCUGAAUUGUUCUGUGUUAACAUAAUACAAACUGUGAGAAGCGAGAGGACUGUAAUAAAGAUUGUUCGUCACGGGACUAAGUGCAAUUCCACAAAUUCCAUUUUUCACUGUGAAACUUUCUCCAGCGACUGUCAGUUUGGUAUAUCUGGGAUCGUAAUCGAAAGUAUUGGAAGUCAAUCGAUGGAAGGAAUCGUCGGAAUUUUGAUAGAUGAUUAAAGCUUCACCUCUUUCGUCUGCUAUGUACACCUAUCAUUAUUAUCACAGUAUGAUUAUUUUGCUAUUAAUAAUACUUUUCGAUAAAUUUCAAUUUUUUUCUUGAUUUUGUAACUUUUAUAUUAUCUUAUAAAUUUUAAUAUACUGAAGGCGAAUCUAUCAGAAUACACGUGAAUGAGUUUUUUUUAAAAAAAUUAACUUUUUUAUUUUGAAAGUGUUUUUUCCUUUAAAAUCAUUUUUUUCGAAAUGAUUAUUAUUUUUUAAAUAUAUAAAUAUGAAAACAAUGAUCCGAAUUAAAAGAAAAAUACAUGAAAAAUACGUAUAUUUUUUGCAAAUAUAUUUCAAAAAUUAGUGAUUCAGAGGAAAAUCUAAUAUCCUAUGAAAUCUUUUUAUUAAUGAAGGUAUUAAAAAAAGUUACAAAAUCAAUUUUUCUUUUAUUUUUUAAAAAUGAAAUAGUGUAUAAUAUUGUGUUAAAAUUAUUUGGCAAAAUAUUAUGAAAUAUUUAAAAAUUAUGGAUUUUAUUAAAGCCAUAUAAAGAAUUUCCAUUAUAGAAAUUAACUAAACGUAAAAGUAAAAUAAAAUAUUUCUAUGAAAAGGAACUAUGAAAG